rnacentral:piRNA from 1 species
UUCGACAAGUAGUCUCGUAUGAUGAGCAC